CUUGCACAAGCAACAUGGACAUGCCUGAAUUAGUGAAAAGGAGACUUUAUACAGUGAGAAGCAAAAACGAAUAGGGCAGUGACACAGCAACACCACGUUUCUUCCAGUGACCAGAUAGAGACGGGGUUUCACCAUGUUGGCCAGACUGGUCUUGAACUCCUGACCUUGCAAUCCACCAGCCUCGGCAUCCCAGAGUGCUGGAAUUACAGUCAGCUGCCACGACUUAAACUGCCCUAUGGAGAGGCCCAACUGGCAAGGAACUGAGGAAGACCUCCAGGUAACAGCCCAUGAGAAACUGAUGCCCUCAGUUCAACAGCCCACAAGGAACUGAAAUCUGCUGACAACUGCAUAGAUGAGCUUAGAAGCAGAUCCUUCUCCAGCCAAGCUUUCAAAUGAGACUGCAGCCCCAACUGGCACAUUGAUUGCAACUUGUGUGAAACCCUGAGCCAGAUGAUACAGUUAAGCUGACCUCAGAUUGCUGGCUCACAGAAACUGUGAGAUAAUAAAUACUGUUGUUUAAAGCCAGUAAGUUUUGAGGGGAUUUGUUAUAAAGCAAUAAACUAAUACAGAUACCAAUCCAGGUUGCCCAGAAAAUAUCUACCAAACUCUUUCAGACUUAUCCUGUUUCUCACAAGAGAAACAGAUUACAGAGCAUUUACCAGUCAGAAUCUCUGAUAACAUUAGUAACACUGAGAUUGAUGUUAAAAAUGGAAACCAUCCCUCCCAAUGGGUGAGGCUGAGCUGGUUCCAACUAUGAGACAGAGAAUCUUAUGUGCUUCCAGAAAAAAAAAAUGAGGUGAAAGAAGAAAAUCCUUCUUUUGGCAAUGGGCUGAGAGUAGGGCAGACUAGGAGGCAUCCAGUAGAACCCGAACAAAGAAAAGUGCAGUAAUUAAAGAAGUCACAAUACA